AUUGAACGCUGGCGGCAGGCCUAACACAUGCAAGUCGAACGGUAACAGGAAGCAGCUUGCUGCUUCGCUGACGAGUGGCGGACGGGUGAGUAAUGUCUGGGAAGCUGCCUGAUGGAGUGGGAUAACUACUGGAAACGGUAGCUAAUACCGCAUAAUGUCGCAAGACCAAAGAGGGGGACCUUCGGGCCUCUUGCCAUCGGAUGUGCCCAGAUGGGAUUAGCUUGUUGGUGGGGUAACGGCUCACCAAGGCGACGAUCCCUAGCUGGUCUGAGAGGAUGACCAGCCACACUGGAACUGAGACACGGUCCAGACUCCUACGGGAGGCAGCAGUGGGGAAUAUUGCACAAUGGGCGCAAGCCUGAUGCAGCCAUGCCGCGUGUAUGAAGAAGGCCUUCGGGUUGUAAAGUACUUUAAGCGGGGAGGAAGGGAGUAAAGUUAAUACCUUUGCUCAUUGACGUUACCCGCAGAAGAAGCACCGGCUAACUCCGUG
rnacentral:rRNA from 1 species